AUUUCACAUAUUCUUCCCCGCACCUCCACACCCUCCCCUCCAAAUGCUCUAUUGGCAGUGCUUCUCAGCCUUGCACCGCCAUCGCACCUUAUGCCGCCGCCACACCUUGUGUUGUCGCCGCACUGAACCUCCAUUGCACUGAACUUCCAUCGCCCCGUCACACCCCUUCCCGGCUCUUCUAUGUGUGUUGCUCGCGUCAUUCCCUUUCGAACCUUAAUGUGCAUUUCUCUGCCACCAUCUUCGUCGCCUUUGUCUACCUUCGCGAUUUUAUAAAACUACAGCACCGAUCGUUCAUUCAGCGGCACUAACCAUAACCAAUGGCGUCCACCGAGCAGCUAUUGAAGAAGCGAAAGCACGACACUCUUCCGGAAUCUCCACUGCCACACCACCGCCGCUAGCACCGCCGCCACAAUCUCCUCAAACCCUAGCUCGUCUGCCUACUCCUCCUCCUCCGCCUCUGUCACGAGAUGAGGUCGUCACCAAGCAGAGGAACAAAGAUGAGGUUCGAAUCAUGUUUGAAAGCUACCGUCACAUCAAGCUCUUCUUGUAAAAGAAGGAAGGUGAUUUCAUCCAUGACCUUGAACAGAGCUUCUUCGCUCUCGUCAAUGCUUCCAGAGGUGGAGCUGCCAGGGAGGCUACAGUGUUAGGGUAUCAUAUUACUCCCUUGUUUUUGUACUAUGCGUAUCACGGACCUAUUUUUAGAGUCUUACUCAGAUUAAAUCGUGGCAAGAUUCAUGACAGUAGGCAUUAUGGCUAUAUUGGUUACUGCCACAAAUGUGGAAAUUCUCAUGAAUAUUCUCGGGAUCAACUUGGUCAGAUUAGUUGCUCUUGUAGUAUGCCAAUGAGAUUUAUCUCAGCUGAAUUUGGAGCAGACCCUACCAAGGUUCAAUAUAUGACCUGGAGGAUGGCCGUAAUUUAUACGCACCCAAACUCAAAAUUUGCUAGAUAGUUGAGGCCGAACGCAUUCCAUAUACCUACAUUUGCCGCAAUUUCUUCAUGAAGAUUUUGCUCCCUUCUCUUGUUCAGCCAGGCUUAAAUGCUCCUCCUAGUGACAAGGUUACCAUAUUUGGUGAUGGGAACACAAAAGGCGUAUUUGUUAAGGAAAAUGAUGUCGCUGCCUUCACUAUUAGCACAGUUGAUGAACCCCGUACCUUGAACAAAGUGUUGUACUUGAGACCCUCAGAAAACGUUUAUUCUCUGAAUGAACUAGUCGAGAUGUGGGAAACUAAAAUUGGGAAGAAGCUUGAGAAAUCACACGUCUCAGAAGAAGAACUGAUCAAGAAAAUCGAAGGGAUAUGAAGUUUCUACUUAUAUAUAGAGAAAUGUAAGGAAAACUUCUAAUUCAAUGCAUUAGGUGAGUGUUUGAUGUGUCUUGCAACCCUAGUUCAAUUUCUCUUGACUAGUUUUGCUGGUUUUGAGUACCAAAAUGGCAAAAUCAUUGUGGUAUCUAUUUGGAGUAUUUGGUUGGCUUGAACACAAUUCACAGACCUUCAAUUAUAAAUUCUUGGACUGACAAGUUUUAUGGGAUAUGAUUAGAUGCUUGGUAUCUAUUUGGUGUAUAAAUUCUUGAACACAAUUCACACACCUUAAAUACUUAUAUCUGAAAUAGUUUUUGCAGAUGUGGUAUGAAUAUCUGCUCUUUAUAUUCAACUUAUUUCUUAAACAUGCUCAUCAUCGUCAAGAUUAAAUGCUUCCAAUUAGUUCUAAAAUGAUAUAGUAGUGAAUUAUUUUGGCAGAUUCAGGACCAAUUUGAGAUAUUUGAUCUUUCAGGACUAUUUUGACUAUUAAUACUAUUUGUGAUGCUGGGCUUUUCCUAAGGUAUGUAUAUGUUGAUCUUGGACUUCUUAAUUGGCACAAAUCUGCCUUGGAAACACAACAAAUGUUCUUGAAAUUCUUAAUGUCAUGUUUGUUGCCAUAUUUAGCAGAAAGUAAUUAUCAACUGGCAAACUAAAAAUAUUUGGAUAUAGUUAGUAUUGUCCUAUUUAUUGGAUUGGUCAAAAUAUGUUCUUGUCAUAGUGGCUCUAAAGUACCAAAUUAGCAAAAUGAAAUCAAAAUCUACUAUGUAGAAUCUUGAAGUUAUUAUGAGUUAGUAAACUUUAAAAGCAUGAAAAAUGAAGGAUAAUAAUGUACAAAUGCCUGUUAGUUAUAUAUAUUUUGUAGGGGUGAAAAUGGAGAAUUGAGAUUGGGAAUCAGAAGAGCUGUUCGACCAAGAAAUGGUCUUCCUGAGUCUAUUGUUGGUAACCAGAGUUGUUAUCCCAAUUUCCUUUCUUCUGUGGCCUAAUGCUAUAUCAGCAAAAAGCAUGUUUCAUGUUUUCUACAGUCCAAGGGCAACUCAUGCAGAUUUUGUUGUAUCCUAUCAAAAGUAUGCCAAAAGCAUCAAGAAUCCGGUGACCAUUGGCACAAGAUUCAAAGUGAAAUUUGAAAUGGAUGAAUCACCUGAAAGAAGGUGUACUAGUGGUAUAGUGACUGGAAUGAGUGAUUUGGAUCCAUACAGAUGGCCUAAAUCAAAAUGGAGGUGCUUAAUGGUCUUGUACCAUAAACUUAUUUACUUUUUGACUGAUUACAAACUGAUUUGGAAGAGGAAAAGGCACAUGAAAUUGCCAAGUUACAGGAUGCUUUGCAUGCAAUGGUGAGCUUCACUUAUUUAUCUUUCUCUUUUUCUUCUAUUAAACUUGCAGCCCCAAAUCGAAAGUCACUGGAACUAGACCAGAUGUUAAGAAUUUGAUACUUGGAAAACAGAUGAGAAAUGGAAAAAUCUAAGGAGGCAGAGAAGCCUGAGGCAGAGGAUCAAUUCAUGACCCCACUUUUUGAAUCAAUGGACACAAUAAUGAUGAAUGGUUUCUGCACAGAUGAAGUUCCAAUUUUAGAACCUAAUUAAGCAACCUUAUUGUAUAUUUUGACUUAAUUAGAGGACAAUAGUUGAUGUAUCAAUACACUUUGUUGAUGUAUGGUUGUUACUUGUUAUUAUAAUUGAUGUAUCAACACUUUGUUUAUAUUUUGAAAUAUAUUGACUUGUUUGUUUAUAGUAAUUUUCUUUUA